rnacentral:rRNA from 1 species
GCAUGGACGAAAGUCUGACGGAGCAACGCCGCGUGAGUGAUGAAGGUUUUCGGAUCGUAAAGCUCUGUUGUUAGGGAAGAACAAGUACCGUUCGAAUAGGGCGGUACCUUGACGGUACCUAACCAGAAAGCCACGGCUAACUACGUGCCAGCAGCCGCGGUAAUACGUAGGUGGCAAGCGUUGUCCGGAAUUAUUGGGCGUAAAGGGCUCGCAGGCGGUUCCUUAAGUCUGAUGUGAAAGCCCCCGGCUCAACCGGGGAGGGUCAUUGGAAACUGGGGAACUUGAGUGCAGAAGAGGAGAGUGGAAUUCCACGUGUAGCGGUGAAAUGCGUAGAGAUGUGGAGGAACACCAGUGGCGAAGGCGACUCUCUGGUCUGUAACUGACGCUGAGGAGCGAAAGCGUGGGGAGCGAACAGGAUUAGAUACCCUGGUAGUCCACGCCGUAAACGAUGAGUGCUAAGUGUUAGGGGGUUUCCGCCCCUUAGUGCUGCAGCUAACGCAUUAAGCACUCCGCCUGGGGAGUACGGUCGCAAGA